AGAGGAAGUAAAAGUCGUAACAAGGUUUCCGUAGGUGAACCUGCGGAAGGAUCAUUAACGAGUUAUUGAACAGGUUGUAAGCUGACCUCUUCUCAAAGAGGAGGUAUGUGCACGCCUGGCUCAUCCACUCUCUAACCUCUGUGCACCUGUCGUAGGUCGGUGAAACGGCAAAAGUCUGGCUGAUAGUAAAAUAUUGGUUGGACCUGCUUGGGAAGCCUUCCUAUGUUCUUUUUUUACAAACGCUUCAGUUUAAGAAUGUGCCUAUGCGUGUAACGCAUUUAUAUACAACUUUCAGCAACGGAUCUCUUGGCUCUCGCAUCGAUGAAGAACGCAGCGAAAUGCGAUAAGUAAUGUGAAUUGCAGAAUUCAGUGAAUCAUCGAAUCUUUGAACGCACCUUGCGCUCCCUGGUAUUCCGGGGAGCAUGCCUGUUUGAGUGUCAUGGUAUUCUCAACCUUCGAUAACUUUGUUGUUGUCGAAGGCUUGGACUUGGAGGUUUGUGCUGGCUUCUCGUCAAGUCGGCUCCUCUUAAAUGCAUUAGCGCGAGUGUAACGGAUCGCUUCGAUGUGAUAAUUAUCUGCGUCGUAGUCGUGAAGUAAACAUAAGCUUGUGCUUCUAACCGUCCUUCAGUUGGACAACGGUUUACUCUGACAUCUGGCCUCAAAUCAGGUAGGACUACCCGCUGAACUUAAGCAUAUCAA
rnacentral:rRNA from 1 species